rnacentral:misc_RNA from 1 species
GGCUGAAAAUUGGGAUGGAAAAGUACAAGUCUCUAUGGGAGAGGUACAUAGAUUAUUCCCAUCCUUUAUUGCAACAGUGCAAUUUUCAUUGAUUUCGGACAUGGGAAGCUUCAUAUUUCCCCUUGUGCGCAAGAAUAUCCAAAUUUUUGUAGUCAAAGUAUGCUUGCACAAUUUUUACAAGAUUAAGCAUGGCUGGUGGUUGUAGAAGUGCCUGUUGUAGCAUAGAAUGCUUCUUAUGACAACAAUCAUUGAGGGUUAUCCAACCAAGAUUUCAUUUGGUCUAUAUUUAUGUAGACUGAGUUGUAAUCAAACAUUUAUCCAUAGCAGGUUUUAGUUCUCAUUUCCAUCAG